rnacentral:rRNA from 1 species
GGUGCCGGUCUGGCGGUCCGCCUCGCCGCGGUCUCACUGCCAGUCCCGGAGCCAUCCCGCCGGCCUUCCCUCGGUGCUCUUUACCGAGUGUCUUGGGUGACCGGAACGUUUACUUUGAACAAAUUUUUAGUGCUCCAAGCAGGCGCGUCCCGCCCGCAUAGCCCAUCAUGGAAUAAUGGAAUAGGACCUCGGUUCUAUUUUGUUGGUUUUCG